GGGAGCCCUGUGAUUAAAAAAAAAAAGUAUUACUGAAAUUUGAAAUUGGGUAGUUGGAAGGAAACCUCCUAUAAUUUUUACAAAGUUCUCUGUUGCUAUAGGUACUCAUGUGAUGGAAGGUUCUGGAAGAAUGGUGGUCACUGCUGUAGGUGUGAAUUCUCAAACAGGAAUCAUCUUCACCUUACUUGGAGCUGGGGGUGAAGAAGAGGAAAAGAAAGAUGAGAAGAAGAAGGAAAAGAAAAGUAGGUGUGGCGGUUUGCUGUAAGCAUUGGUAUUUGGGAAGAACAACAAGUGAGGGUCUUGAAAACUGGUACCGAAAUAGGAUUCUUUCAUGAGACCGUGAUAUGAAGGUGUAAGGUGUUAAUUACCUAAUUCACUUUUAAGUAACAGAAAAGUAGUCCUUGAGGGGUUUUGUCAGUAUGUCAGUCCCCUCCACCACAGGAAGAGACGGUCAGUAUAUACGUAAUACUUCAGCCUGGGCUUUUUCCUUGGCCGUUGGAUCAGCAACAUGAAUUGAGCUCUGGCUUCCUGGUUGUCUUUUUCUCCCUCUCUACUAGUUUUCCAUUUCAGCCAGAGCUGCAUCGCACUCUCACUGGGUUUUCAGUCUUCACGCUUUGUCCUUUCACAUACUCCAUUGUGUACUGUGUAUGGACACGCUGAAGUGUGUGCACACACGGUCAGCGGCUGUGCAUUGACUUGCGUGCUUGUGUGUCUAUGUAGACCCGUUGUUACAUGCCCACAUCUUUCAUUUCACUGUUCCUGCUAAUCCCUCCAAGUGAUCUUUCAGCACUUUGCUAGCAUAGAGUUUAUCCAAAAAGAUCUUAGAACAAACUGACCUACACAGAGAGACAUCUCAGAAUGUAAGCUCAGGGUAUGCCACCGUAGAAGGCCCUGCUGCAUCCUCUUUGCUGGUAUCUUCUGCAUCAUCCAUCUCACUCAGGCACCUGUCAGAACCCUUUCUUCUUUGCCUUGAUAGCAGUUUGCUGUCCUGUAACCAUUUGGACUUGUUUAAUUUGCUUCAGGGUGUAAGCCUAUAUUUUCUUUUCUCACAAGAGUAUUUUAAGAUCUUCUAAAAUAAUCCCUGGCUGAAUGGCUUUUAUUUUGCUGAGUUUUUUCUUUGGGGGGGUGGGGGCGAGGUUGCUGUUGUGGCUUAUGAUGCUGGGCAUUGUUAGCCCGUGAGUCAACCAGCACUACAACAGAGGUGCAUGUUUACUGAGACUGUGUUUAAGGCAGGGUCUCAGGUUCCACCUCAGGCUAGUCUUGAAUUCAGUGGGUAGCCCCGGCUGACUUGAGCUUGAGACAGUUGUCCCACUUCAAAGUAUUGGUAUACAGGCAUGACACCUGGCUUGCAGCAGAGCUAGUGACCACCCCUUUAAUCCUAGCACUAGGGAGGCAGAGGCAAGCAGAAUCUCUGUGAGUUCAAGGCCAGCCUGGUCUGCAGAGUGAAUUACAGGACAGCCAGGGCCACACAGAAACCCUGUGUCGAAAACAAAAAUCAACAAACAAAAAGGAUUGGGUAGAUUGUUUGUCCUUUGUGCAUUACUAUCUUUCCAUAUGAAGUUCUUAUUUCAAACAAAAUGCACUUGAGAUUAUCUUUGUGUAGAGAGUGUAGCUCUGUGGUAAAGAGCUUACUGGCAUCCACAGUCUCUGGGUCCAUUUCCUAACACUAGGGGUUGGCAGAUAGAAACUUGUGGCUGGGGAUGAAGGUGGCUCGCCCAGUGUUCUAGAUUCCUCCAUUCAGUACUCCAGGCAGCCCUUGAUAAGCCACCAUAGUCUUUUUGAAACAUGGCAGUCGUGGUUGCCAAAUGCUUUGCACACUCCAUCUUCAUCUACCUUCAUUCUUACUGUCAGGAAAGCGAACCUUGAGAAGGUUGUGUAACUUGAUCGGGUAGCAAGUAUCUGGUCAAAGCGUCUCUGCUCUUGUCCUAAGAUACAGGACUCUUACAUCCGUGAAUCCUAUGAACACAAGAAGUACACUGAUGACUGCUCCUACUGACCUGCAGUCACUAUUCUAACGCGCACUGUUCCCUAAGUCUUACCCAACUGUCUUGUCUAGCUUUUUUUUUAUUUUUCACUUUUCUCCUCCCUCUCUCCAACCCUUCUCACAUCUUGCCAACUUUGGCAUCUAAUCAGACACAGGCAAACCUGUCUCCAUGUCCUGUCCACUUGCUUGCCAGCCUGGAAUGUGCUUUUCUGGUCUCCAAACCUGAGCUCCCUGAAAGGAGCCAGGUAUCCUUUUACUAUCGCCUGCCUCAUCUUUCCCAAGCUUCUGUUCUUUCCUGCCCAUGUUUGUUCCAGGUUUCCCUGCUUGAAGAUGCUCUUCUCGAUAGAGAAGCUGGAAGAAAACAGGCUGUUUCGCUUGUUCCAAACAGUGGAGCCGGCCCCUCCUUGAUUAUCACUUCAGACUUGUACUCCUUCUGUGCUCCGUGGAUCUGAUUUGGCUUGGUGCUUUGUCUGCUCAUCAUCCCCCUCGCCAAAGCCUCCGGCUUUCCUCCUUGUCUUGUACACUCUUCUUUCCCACUCCCACCAGAGCGCUCCUGGAUGCCUAUUUUCUUUUUAUAGCAUCCCCUCCCUCCCUCCAUCCUCUCUUUUUCUGCUUUCUCAGGGUUAUGUCUGUAUUUAGCUUGAAGAUCUUUUGCACCAUAUUCGGGCUUAUAACUUAUCAAAGAAAGAAUAAAGCCUUACGUAGAAAUACAGUAUGCAUACCCUAAACUAUUUUGGAGUAGUCUCCCCUUGUAGGACCUAGGAAGUGGUGGACGGGGUCAGCAAGCUGCUGUUUUCUGUUUGUACACCUAUACACCGCUGUGUAACAAUUCUCUUAUAGAAAUGUGAACUACCUCUGCAUAAUUUAGUGUGGCCGUAUUCAUUUCUUUUGGAAAGCUUUAAUUCCCAUUUUGUUCUUACAGAUAAGAAACAAGAUGGAGCUAUUGAGAAUCGCAACAAAGGUAAAUUCAAGAUGAUUGAAAAGUACAGUUAGCUUGUUUUCUUUUACCUCCAAAAAUAGAUCUGCUGUGUACUAUAUUUAUCCAAAAUUAGGGAGCAUGACAGGGGACGUCAACAGCGUUAACUUGGAUUAACCUCUCUGGCCACUGCUGGAGUCAUGCAGAAGAGAGUGUUAAUUACGAUCUGUGCUGCCGUGCUCAGGUAGCUUUCCUAAGGGUUGCAGAGUGCUUUACAUGCCUGAAAUGAAAUAGUUGGUAGAAAAAAAUCUGUGUAGUGUAAAGUACAUUUAAACAUAGGCAUGUUUUUCUAAUGUGUAAUCAUAUACAAUAUUCUACAUUGGAUCAUAAAUUACAUGAGUAGGAUCUGUAGUCUUCAUCUAACCUCGUACCUAACAUCACACGAAAAGAAAGAAAUUUAGUAUUCUUUAUUCUUAGUUUAAGGACUGUAUAUGCUUUAUUCCUGUCACUGAAGGUGACAUCCUUACAUCUGGAACAGUACCACAGGCUAAUCUCACUGUUGUCUUAUUCACUCUGUGUAGCCAUCCCAAUACACACACAUACACACACACACACACUCUCUCUCUCACACUUACACUUGAAUGUUUAUAGUUCAGUCUUUUUCUAUCAGAAACUGAUUUUAUAAAAAGAAGAAGAAGAAAAGAAAG
rnacentral:lncRNA from 1 species